rnacentral:rRNA from 1 species
CGUACACUCCUGCGGGAGGCAGCAGUGGGGAAUAUUGCACAAUGGGCGCAAGCCUGAUGCAGCCAUGCCGCGUGUAUGAAGAAGGCCUUCGGGUUGUAAAGUACUUUCAGCGGGGAGGAAGGCAAUACGGUUAAUAACCGUGUUGAUUGACGUUACCCGCAGAAGAAGCACCGGCUAACUCCGUGCCAGCAGCCGCGGUAAUACGGAGGGUGCAAGCGUUAAUCGGAAUUACUGGGCGUAAAGCGCACGCAGGCGGUCUGUCAAGUCGGAUGUGAAAUCCCCGGGCUCAACCUGGGAACUGCAUUCGAAACUGGCAGGCUUGAGUCUUGUAGAGGGGGGUAGAAUUCCAGGUGUAGCGGUGAAAUGCGUAGAGAUCUGGAGGAAUACCGGUGGCGAAGGCGGCCCCCUGGACAAAGACUGACGCUCAGGUGCGAAAGCGUGGGGAGCAAACAGGAUUAGAAACCCCUGUAGUCCCAUGA